AACGUCGCAAUUCCUACCCGAGCCACGGAUCAGAUAACGAGUACGGGACGUUACGGAAAAGCUGAGCCGUUUGUUAUCGUGGACACCUCUGUUCCCUUUUCCCCAAGAACACAUCUAUCCCCUUUCCUCUACAAGCGAGCAGCUGGUGGCGGCGGCGCUAGUCUCGGCCACCUGCGGCCAAGGAAAAAUGGAGGAUGCUGGUCUCGAGUUUCUGCUCGUUGCCGUGGACAGGUUCCCGCUGAGGGAGGAGUUCGGGGACAACAUUAAACACCCAGAUCCGGUUCCUCUGGUCUUGUUGCCCACAAGAGAAGCCAACCGUAGCAAUCCUGAAGACUCAGAUGCCUUGUUUAGUUGAGGUCAAUGGGUCAGCGACGAAGGACCUGAAAAGGCACGAGGUGGAGGCCGCCGUCUUCCAAAUUCAUCUCCAACUAGGUCGGCACAGUCAAGUAACAGAGUCAACCCAGAGGCCCCAGGUUGGACAAAAAGCGAUGAUGGAAACUGGAGUGCAGCUUAAUUUGUCUAUAUAUUCUUGCAGUGGAGAAGGUGAUGACCAAACAAGAGGCUGUUGAUGAGAUCACUACUUUUGGAGGUGGCAAUCAGCAAAGUUUAUCCGGGCAUCGUGCAUAGGUGGUGCAAAAAUGGCAUGUGCUGAAGAAAACGAAGGAGACAUUGGGCCCUCUGUACACGAAGAAGAGUGAGUUCCAGGCUGAGUUCCAUGAGGUUGUGAACCACAUGCUAACUGAAGAUGAGUUUGAGACGGCGUUGGCUACGCUGUUAGAUAAGUACGAUCUGAGAAAGCACCCCUACAUGACCCAAAUAUACGACAUCAGAAAGGUGGGCAAAACCAUAUUUCAAGGGUUUUUUCUGUGCCAAGAUGACGAGCAUACAACGCAGUGAGAGCGUUUCCCCAUUUUUGGCUUGUGACAGGGACAGACUAAGCAUUUGCGGAAGAAGAUUGCUUACGAGAUAGUGACAAUGAAAGGGAACAAAGGAGCUAUCCCAGAGUUUCUGUAUGAUGUGAUCGUUGACUGAAGUGGAAGAUAGUAGUAGGUGUAUCUUUUGGCUGUGCGUGUGCUAGGCAGUUGGAUUAACCCGACUAAGUAGUGGGGUCAUUUUGCGGCACAAUCCCUACCAUCUUGUAUUUUGGGAAAACUAUAGUCAUGUCAUAUUUUCCCAGGUGGGAACCUAAUUAGACUAAGUGAAAACUGGUUAUGUUGUGAGACGAAAUGACCAUGUGUCUACA